rnacentral:rRNA from 1 species
GCAAUAGAGUGGGAAAAGCUUUGAGUAGAGGUGAUAAACCUAUCGAGCCCAGUUAUAGCUGGUUGCCUGAGAAAUGAAUAGGAGUUCAGCCCUUUAAGUUAUUUCCCCUAUCACACAUGCUCUAUGCUAAAAUGACUAAGGAAACUAAAGGAGUUAAUCAAAAGGGGUACAGCCCUUUUGAUAAAAGAAACAACUUUAACAGGUGACUCAAGAUCAUAUUAUUUAAGGAUAUCAAACUAAGUGGGCCUAAAAGCAGCCACCUUCACAGAAAGCGUUAAAGCUCAAAUUGAACUUAAUCCUCAUAUACUGAUAUUAUAUCUCCCUCCCUGCCCCCUAUCAGGCUGUCUUACGCCCCCGUAAGAAUAAUUAUGCUAAAAUGAGUAAUAAGAAGAAUCAAGUUCUUCUCCUAGCACACGUGUAAGUCAGAACGGACAUACCACUGACUAUUAAACGACCCCAAACCCAGAGGGCAGUAAGUAAUAUAAACAAGAAAAACACUUAUUUUUAAUCGUUAACCCUACACAGGAGUGCCUAAAGGAAAGACUAAAAGAAAGGGAAGGAACUCGGCAAACACAAGCCUCGCCUGUUUACCAAAAACAUCGCCUCUUGCCCAAAUAAAUAUAAGAGGUCCCGCCUGCCCAGUGACUAUAAGUUUAACGGCCGCGGUAUUUUAACCGUGCGAAGGUAGCGUAAUCACUUGUCUUUUAAAUGAAGACCUGUAUGAAUGGCAUCACGAGGGCUUAGCUGUCUCCCCUCUCCAGUCAAUGAAAUUGACCUCCCCGUGCAGAGGCGGGGAUAAAUAUAUAAGACGAGAAGACCCUGUGGAGCUUUAGACCUAAGUAAAUCACGUUUAACAUCCUAGAACAAUAGAAUAAACCUAGUGAAAAUUAUGGAAGUGUCUUUGGUUGGGGCGACCGCGGGGUAAAACAAAACCCCCAUGUGGACCGGGGAUGUAUCCCUAACACUCAGAGCCUAUACUCCAAGUAACAGAAAAUCUGACCUUCUGAUCCGGUAAUAACCGAUCAACGAACCGAGUUACCCCAGGGAUAACAGCGCAAUCCCCUCCCAGAGCCCAUAUCGACGAGGGGGUUUACGACCUCGAUGUGGAUCAGGACAUCCUAAU